rnacentral:rRNA from 1 species
GAUGAACGCUGGCGGCGUGCCUAAUACAUGCAAGUCGAGCGAACAGACGAGGAGCUUGCUCCUCUGACGUUAGCGGCGGACGGGUGAGUAACACGUGGAUAACCUACCUAUAAGACUGGGAUAACUUCGGGAAACCGGAGCUAAUACCGGAUAAUAUAUUGAACCGCAUGGUUCAAUAGUGAAAGACGGUUUUGCUGUCACUUAUAGAUGGAUCCGCGCCGCAUUAGCUAGUUGGUAAGGUAACGGCUUACCAAGGCAACGAUGCGUAGCCGACCUGAGAGGGUGAUCAGCCACACUGGAACUGAGACACGGUCCAGACUCCUACGGGAGGCAGCAGUAGGGAAUCUUCCGCAAUGGGCGAAAGCCUGACGGAGCAACGCCGCGUGAGUGAUGCAGGUCUUCGGAUCGUAAAACUCUGUUAUUAGGGAAGAACAAAUGUGUAAGUAACUAUGCACGUCUUGACGGUACCUAAUCAGAAAGCCACGGCUAACUACGUG